ensembl:lncRNA
UUAAAUUACAACAAGUAUGAGAUCUAACAAAAACACUACAGAAGUGAACAAAAAGUAAACAUAAAAAUAUAUAAAAUCAUUAAAAGCACUUCCAGAAUAUAAGAGAAAUUAAUGCUUAAUCGAAUUGUUCAAAAUAAUUUCUUAAACCAAAUGUUUUAAAACUUGUUGAAUAACAUUUGGUUGACUAAGGACAAUAUCUAAAUGAUUUUCAAAGAGAGGUAAUUAUAGAGAGCAUACAAAGUAUACAACAAUACCUGUCUUUUUCUUGAUGAACGUUUCCUCACAGGUGAGGAUGAGGAUGAUGUAGCAGUCACAGGGGCAGGUGAUGAACUUUUCCUCACAGGUGAGGAUGAGGAUGAUGUAGCAGUCACAGGGGCAGGUGAUGAACUUUUCCUCACAGGUGAGGAUGAGGAUGAUGUAGCAGUCACAGGAGCAGGUGAUGAACUUUUCCUCACAGGUGAGGAUGAGGAUGAUGUAGCAGUCACAGGGGCAGGUGAUGAACUUUUCCUCACAGGUGAGGAUGAGGAUGAUGUAGCAGUAACAGGGGCAGGUGAUGAACUUUUCCUCACAGGUGAGGAUGAGGAUGAUGUAGCAGUAACAGGGGCAGGUGAUGAACUUUUCCUCACAGGUGAGGAUGAGGAUGAGGAUGAUGUAGCAGUCACAGGAGCAGGUGAUGAACGCUGCACAGAAGACCAAAGGCACAAAAAAAAUACCACAGAUGUAAACAAAAAGUAAAUAUAAAUGCUUGCUUAAUUCAAAGUGCAUUGAUUUAGUUUAAGGGCAAGACAAAUGCAUUUGGAACAAAUAAU